rnacentral:rRNA from 1 species
AGCGAACGCUGGCGGCAGGCUUAACACAUGCAAGUCGAACGGCCCUUUCGGGGGCGAGUGGCGGACGGGUGAGUAACACGUGGGAACGUGCCCUUAGGUUCGGAACAACACAGGGAAACUUGUGCUAAUACCGGAUGUGCCCUUUUGGGGGAAAGAUUUAUCGUCCUUUGGAGCGGCCCGCGUCUGAUUAGCUAGUUGGUGGGUAAAGGCCUACCAAGGCUACGAUCAGUAGCUGGUCUGAGAGGAUGGCCAGCCACACUGGGACUGAGACACGGCCCAGACUCC